rnacentral:misc_RNA from 1 species
GCCAGACUUUCUUGGAUUUGAAAUU